UGGGGAAUAUUGGACAAUGGGCGAAAGCCUGAUCCAGCCAUGCCGCGUGUGUGAAGAAGGUCUUCGGAUUGUAAAGCACUUUAAGUUGGGAGGAAGGGCAGUAAGCGAAUACCUUGCUGUUUUGACGUUACCGACAGAAUAAGCACCGGCUAACUCUGUGCCAGCAGCCGCGGUAAUACAGAGGGUGCAAGCGUUAAUCGGAAUUACUGGGCGUAAAGCGCGCGUAGGUGGUUCGUUAAGUUGAAUGUGAAAGCCCCGGGCUCAACCUGGGAACUGCAUCCAAAACUGGCGAGCUGGAGUAGGGCAGAGGGUGGUGGAAUUUCCUGUGUAGCGGUGAAAUGCGUAGAUAUAGGAAGGAACACCAGUGGCGAAGGCGACCACCUGGGCUCAUACUGACACUAAGGUGCGAAAGCGUGGAGAGCAAACAGG
rnacentral:rRNA from 1 species